CAGGACACAGCAUGGCCAUGAGGGCUCCUGCUCAGCUCCUGGAACUCCUGCUGCUCUGCCUCCCAGGUGAAUCAUAUUCUGCUCUGGCACAUCUGUGCUGCUCUCAACUGAACUGGGACAAUGGGCACAUCUGGCCUGUGCUGAGUGUCAGAUGAGCAGCCCUGCAGCUGUGCCCAGCCUGCCCAGCCCUGCUGAUUUACAUGUUCCCACAGCACAGCCCAUUGUCCUGCGGACUUCUUAAGAGGCUGCUCACACCCUGUGCAGGAGUCAUCCCGGUCAGGAAACAGCAUGGCCAUAAGGGUCCCUGCUCAGGUCCUGGGGCUCCUGCUGCUCUGCCUUUCAGGUUCCAGAUGUGACAUCCAGAUGACCCAGUCUCCUUCACCCCUGUCUGCAUCUCAAGGAGACAGAGUCACCAUCACCUGCAGGGCCAGUGAGGACAUUAGCGAUUUUUUACACUGGCAUAAGCAGAAAUGAGAACAAGCUCCUAAGCUCCUCAUCACAUAUGCAAACACUUUGCAAUCUAGGGUCCCCUCGAGGUUCAGUGGCAGUGGAUCUGUGACAGAUUUUACUCUCACCAUCAGCAGUCUGGGGCCUGAAGAUGUUGCCACUUAUUUCUGUCAACAAGGUAGCAGUUCCCCUCCCACAGUGACACAGGCCAUGACAAAAACCUCCCAGGGAGCAGAAGUGUGAGGCUAGGCUGCCCCAGGUUCUUCUCCUUCGGCAUCCACCUGCUGAGGGCACUGCUCAGAGUCACCAGGCUCUGAGGUCACAGUGAGGGUUUCCUAGAGGGGAAGUGGGAGGAUUCUUUUUCCAGUGGUCCCUUGCUUUUCCUCAGCCCCAGCAACUCAGAGAAGACAAUUCAUUUCCUGGUGUAAUCCAGAGUAAAGCUUGUUUCCUCUGUGC